rnacentral:rRNA from 1 species
UACGUAGGGACCGAGCGUUGUCCGGAAUCAUUGGGCGUAAAGAGCGUGUAGGCGGCCAAUUAAGUCCUGCGUGAAAUCUCGGGGCUCAACCCCGAGCGGUCGUGGGAAACUGGUUGGCUAGAGUCCGGAAGAGGAAAGUGGAAUUCCUGGUGUAGCGGUGAAAUGCGCAGAUAUCAGGAAGAACACCAAUGGCGAAAGCAGCUUUCUGGGACGGUACUGACGCUGAGACGCGAAAGCGUGGGGAGCGAACAGG